rnacentral:piRNA from 1 species
GCCCAAGGACCUGGGAGCUCAGAGCCUUC